UGUGUUGUGGCUCAGCGGUAGAGCGUUCAUCUUGCACGCAUGAGACUCUGGGUUCGAUCCUCAGCACCACAU
rnacentral:tRNA from 1 species